GGGAAUUUUCCGCAAUGGGCGCAAGCCUGACGGAGCAAUACCGCGUGAGGGAAGAAGGCUUUUGGGUUGUAAACCUCUUUUCUCAGGGAAGAAGCAAUGACGGUACCUGAGGAAUCAGCAUCGGCUAACUCCGUGCCAGCAGCCGCGGUAAUACGGAGGAUGCAAGCGUUAUCCGGAAUUAUUGGGCGUAAAGCGUCCGCAGGUGGCUAGUCAAGUCUGCGGUCAAAGACAGAAGCUAAACUUCUGGAAGGCCGUGGAAACGGGCAAGCUAGAGUACGGUAGGGGUAGAGGGAAUUCCCAGUGUAGCGGUGAAAUGCGUAGAGAUUGGGAAGAACACCAGUGGCGAAAGCGCUCUACUGGGCCUGUACUGACACUGAGGGACGAAAGCUAGGGGAGCGAAAGGGAUUAGAUACCCCUGUAGUC
rnacentral:rRNA from 1 species